rnacentral:rRNA from 1 species
GACGAACGCUGGCGGCGUGCUUAACACAUGCAAGUCGAACGGAAAGGCCCUGCUUUUGUUGGGUGCUCGAGUGGCGAACGGGUGAGUAACACGUGAGUAACCUUCCCUUUACUUUGGGAUAACUUCAGGAAACUGGGGCUAAUACCGGAUAGGAGCUCCUGCUGCAUGGUGGGGGUUGGAAAGUUUCGGCGGUUGGGGAUGGACUCGCGGCUUAUCAGCUUGUUGGUGGGGUAGUGGCUUACCAAGGCUUUGACGGGUAGCCGGCCUGAGAGGGUGACCGGCCACAUUGGGACUGAGAUACGGCCCAGACUCCUACGGGAGGCAGCAGUGGGGAAUAUUGCACAAUGGGCGGAAGCCUGAUGCAGCAACGCCGCGUGCGGGAUGACGGCCUUCGGGUUGUAAACCGCUUUCGCCUGUGACGAAGCGUGAGUGACGGUAAUGGGUAAAGAAGCACCGGCUAACUACGUG